UUUUUAUCAUAUAUCACAUCACUCGAUAAUUCAUAUUUAUAGCAACCUAAGCCAACUUGACAAACAUGAACAACAUUUAUAAAUCCACAAACUAAAUAAAUUAUAUAAUCAGAACUCCAACUAUUCACCACAAGUUCAUAUCAUCAUACACUAGACUUAACAUUCCGAAAUUCCAAAUAAAAGAGAUCUUCUAACACUUUUACACAGUA
rnacentral:lncRNA from 1 species